CGGGGAACCGAGACCCAGGGUGUCACCGCUGACAGCAGCGGGGCCCGCAGAGCUGCAGGGAGACAGAGCCGCCUCCCCGCGGCGCCGACGCUGCCAUCUAGCUAGAGGGCCCCACUCUUUCUUUAACCAGAGGUCACAGCCUCAUUGCCUACCCAGGAGGCAGCCCCGAGACGCCCCCUGCGGCCUGGGUUUUCUCCACCCUGUCCCCGCGCCCACCCCAGCUCUGCCAUCCCCGGCUGCACCGCUUUGUAAAGGGGACGGCUGGUCAGACCGAAUCACUGCG
rnacentral:lncRNA from 1 species